rnacentral:lncRNA from 1 species
AGCCCGCUCCGUUCCCUUUCUCUGGUGUGUAAGGUUUGUUCUUUCGCUCUUUGCAAUAAAUCUUGCUACUGCUCACUCUUUGGGUCCACGCUGCUUUUAUGAGCUGUAACACUCACCGCGAAGGUCUGCAGCUUCACUCCUGAAGCCAUCGAGACCACGAGCCUACCGGGAGGAACGAACAACUCCAGACGCGCUGCCUUAAGUGCUGUAAUAUGGCGAAGGUCUGCAGUUUCACUCUUGAGCCAGGGAGACCACGAACUGGGCGGGAACACCAGAAGGAAGAAACUCCAGACGCGCCACCUUAAGAGCUGUAACACUCACCGCGAGGGUCUGCGGCUUCAUUCUUGAAGUCAGUGAGACCAAGAACCCACCAAUUCCGGACACAGAACAAUUAAAACCCCUGCAAAUUACAUAUGAAACAAGUUUAAGAGGACUUUGAGAGAUGAAGAAAAGCAGGCAGACCAGCCAGGGACCUUGCAGCCUGAAGAAGGACAGGAAGUCCAGGCCGGAGUGCAGUGGUGUGAUCUCGGCUCACUGCGACCUUCAUCUCCUGGGUUCAAGAGAUUCUCCUGCCUCAGCCUCCUGACUAGCUGGGAUUACAGGUGUGCACCACUACACUCGGCUAAUUUUUGUAUUUUUAGUAGAGACGGGGUUUCACCAUUGUGUGUGUGUGUGUUUGUGUGUGUGUAUGUGUGUGUAUACUUGGAGGAAUAAAUGAUAAGUAUUUGAGAUGGUGGAUAUGUUACUUAGACUCAACAUUCCACACUUAUACGUAUUAUUGGAUCACUUUGUAUCUCAUAAAUAU